CUCCUUUCAGGGUGGCACCUGGAGAGUCUCCAGUACUCUACCAGUCUCGAGUACAGAAGGGAGAGCCAGGCAGAGGCCUACCCAUUCUAUUCCUAGCCUGGGCAAUGGCUAGAUAGUGAAAGGCGAUCUGCUACAAGU